AGCGAACGCUGGCGGCAGGCCUAACACAUGCAAGUCGAACGAACUCUUCGGAGUUAGUGGCGGACGGGUGAGUAACACGUGGGAACGUGCCUUUAGGUUCGGAAUAACUCAGGGAAACUUGUGCUAAUACCGAAUGUGCCCUUCGGGGGAAAGAUUUAUCGCCUUUAGAGCGGCCCGCGUCUGAUUAGCUAGUUGGGGAGGUAACGGCUCACCAAGACGACGAUCAGUAGCUGGUCUGAGAGGAUGACCAGCCACACUGGGACUGAGACACGGCCCAGACUCCUACGGGAGGCAGCAGUGGGGAAUCUUGCGCAAUGGGCGAAAGCCUGACGCAGCCAUGCCGCGUGAAUGAUGAAGGUCUUAGGAUUGUAAAAUUCUUUCACCGGGGACGAUAAUGACGGUACCCGGAGAAGAAGCCCCGGCUAACUUCGUGCCAGCCGCCGCAGUAA
rnacentral:rRNA from 1 species